GAAUUAUAUGAUGAAAAUGGUUUGGCUACUAAAAAUCAAAAUAAAAUUUUAGAGUUAGAAGUAAAAUACUAUAAAAAACUUUAUGAAUCAACUAAUCCCUGUGAUAAUGAGGUUAAGAAGUAUAUAACAGAAACAGAAAUAUCAAAACAGCUAGAUGAAUCAGAAAGCAAUCAAUGUGAAGGGGAAGUAACUGAGAAAGAAUGUACAGAAGCAAUCUUUAAAAUGAAGUUAAAUAAAUCCCCUGGCCUGGAUGGUCUGACGGUGGAAUUUUAUAGGCAAUUUUGGAAUAAUUUAAAAAAAAUAUU
rnacentral:lncRNA from 1 species